rnacentral:rRNA from 1 species
AUAAUUAAUAAGUGUUAAGUUAGAAUUAUAUUUAGAUAUAGAUAAAAUUAUAUAAAAAUUAGUGGUUUAAUUAUAUAAAAUUAAUUAAUUAAUUAAAAUUAUAGAGAAAGUAAUGUAAAAGAAUAAGAUUAUACAUAGUAUAAAGUAAAUUUGAUUUAUUGUACCUUUUGUAUCAGGGAUUAUUAAAAAAAUAUUUUUGAAUUAAAAUUUCUCGGAGUUAAAAGUGCGAAUAAAAUAUGAUAGUUAAUGUGGAAUAAUUAUUAUAAAUAUUUUAUUAGUGAAUAUAUUUUAGUCAAUUUUGAGGAUAUCUAGUUUUUUUUGUUGAAAUUAAAUUUAAUUUUAAUUUUUAAUAUUAUUUAAGUUUAGAUAUAAUUAUUAAGAGAUUAGAAGUAAGAAUUAUGGGAUAACCUAUAAUUUUUUUUAAAAUUAUUUAAAUAAAAAAAUUAUAAUAAUAUUCAUAAAAUUUGAAUUUUUUAAAAAAAAUUUAAUAAUUUAUAAAAUUGUAUUAAUAAAGUUUAAUUAAUGAUUUGUAAGUAAAAAUUUAAUAUUUUAAGAAAAUAUUUAUUAAAAUAAUAGAAAUAAAGUAAUAAUGAUAAUAUUAGUAAAAUUUUGUAUUUGUAUAUAUAUAAUUAUAUGUAAAAAUUAACUUUAAGAAUUAGGCAAAAAGAUGAAUUCACCUGUUUAAUAAAAACAUGGUUUUUUGAAUAUAAUUUAAGAUUGUUUCUGCCCGCUGAAGUAAAUAUUUAAAUGGCUGCAGUAUUUUAACUGUACAAAGGUAGCAUAAUAAAUAGUUUUUUAAAUGGAAACUGGGAUGAAUGAAGUGAUGAGAUUUAUACUGUUUUAAGUUAAAAUUAUUAAAUUUAUUAAUUAAGUAAAAAUACUUAAAUUAAAAUAUGGGACGAGAAGACCCUAUAGAAUUUUAUAUAGAUUUGUGAAAUUAGUUUAGUAGAUGAUUUUUGUUAGGUUUAUAUUUAAUUGGGAGGAUUGUUAAAUUAAUAAAACUUUAAUAAUUGUAUUAAAUCAUUAAUUUAUGAGUUAUAAAAGUAGAGUGAUUUUUAAAUUUAAGUAGAAUUAAUUACCUUAGGGAUAACAGCAUAAUAUUUUUAGAGAGAUCUUAUUAAUAAAAAUGAUUGUGACCUCGAUGUUGAAUUAAGAUAAAAAUUAAAUGGAGAAGUUUAAUAUUUAAGUCUGUUCGACUUUUAAAAUCUUACAUGAUUUGAGUUUAGAUCGGUGUGAGCCAGAUCGGAUUCUAUCUAUAUUAAAAUUAAAAUUAUUUGUACGAAAGGACUUUAAUUUUUAAUUUCAUUAAAUAAAUAAUAAGAUUAUUUUGGCAGAUUAGUGCAUUAAAUUUAGAAUUUAAUAUUAAAUAUAAUAAAUUU